rnacentral:rRNA from 1 species
AGUGAACGCUGGCGGUAGGCCUAACACAUGCAAGUCGAACGGCAGCACAGUAAGAGCUUGCUCUUACGGGUGGCGAGUGGCGGACGGGUGAGGAAUACAUCGGAAUCUACUUUUUUGUGGGGGAUAACGUAGGGAAACUUACGCUAAUACCGCAUACGACCUACGGGUGAAAGCAGGGGAUCUUCGGACCUUGCGCGAUUGAAUGAGCCGAUGUCGGAUUAGCUAGUUGGCGGGGUAAAGGCCCACCAAGGCGACGAUCCGUAGCUGGUCUGAGAGGAUGAUCAGCCACAAUGGAACUGAGACACGGUCCAGACUCCUACGGGAGGCAGCAGUGGGGAAUAUUGGACAAUGGGCGCAAGCCUGAUCCAGCCAUACCGCGUGGGUGAAGAAGGCCUUCGGGUUGUAAAGCCCUUUUGUUGGGAAAGAAAAGCAGCAGGUUAAUACCCCGCUGUUCUGACGGUACCCAAAGAAUAAGCACCGGCUAACUUCGUG